rnacentral:rRNA from 1 species
GGAAGGAUCAUUACAGAGUUCAUGCCCGAAAGGGUAGACCUCCCACCCUUGUGUAUUAUUACUUUGUUGCUUUGGCGAGCUGCCUUCGGGCCUUGUAUGCUCGCCAGAGAAUACCAAAACUCUUUUUAUUAAUGUCGUCUGAGUACUAUAUAAUAGUUAAAACUUUCAACAACGGAUCUCUUGGUUCUGGCAUCGAUGAAGAACGCAGCGAAAUGCGAUAAGUAAUGUGAAUUGCAGAAUUCAGUGAAUCAUCGAAUCUUUGAACGCACAUUGCGCCCCUUGGUAUUCCGGGGGGCAUGCCUGUUCGAGCGUCAUUUCAACCCUCAAGCUUAGCUUGGUAUUGAGUCUAUGUCAGUAAUGGCAGGCUCUAAAAUCAGUGGCGGCGCCGCUGGGUCCUGAACGUAGUAAUAUCUCUCGUUACAGGUUCUCGGUGUGCUUCUGCCAAAACCCAAAUUUUUCUAUGGUUGACCUCGGAUCAGGUAGGGAUACCCG